rnacentral:lncRNA from 1 species
GUGAGAUCACAUUCCUCAGUUGAUAAUGGCAAGAGAUGCAAUGAGAAUAUAAAUAAAUAAUAGAGAUGAAUAUGAAAGAUCAUUGAGAAGCAUCAAUCGAGGAUUAUGCUACAUCCAAGGAGAGAUCUCUCAGCCUUCCACUUCAGUUACAGACUGCACUGGCUCCACUACUGGAGGUAUGCAAUCCACCUUGUAGCGAAGCACCUUCAAAAAAGGUUGAAUACGAAUUGUCCCAAAUCAACUUAUAGUUUCCGACCACAGAAGAAUUUGUAAUUGAGUCCACAGUCAAAGAAACCUCAUAAGUUUUUCCAGCUGCAACACUUAUCUCUUUGUGUUCAUCACUUUUCCUUGUUUCUAAUGCACCAGUAGUGUCUGCUGAUAUCCAAGAAAGCAACAUGUUGCCUCUUUAAAUUUCCAUCGUCAAACCGCCCCCAUAAUACCAAAACAAAAAGUCGAAUAUAAAUCACCAUCGUUGUAAGGCUAUAUAAAGGUGGUCCAUAACGUUGUCGUUGCUCUUUGCAGUGUUGGCGUGCAAAGAACGGAACAUUAUGGGUUCGGAUGAGGGGGGGGGUCUCGCUGUUAAAUCUUGCCAUGGGCCCUUCGUCAUCAUUUAUUUUCCGAAUAAAAUCUAGCAAGACCUGUCCCUUUCCAUUUGUCCUUGCUUAUUCCUCUCUGAGCGCUCCCGUUGUUGUCUAAUUAGUGUUCCCCGAGAUAGGUAAGAAGUAUCAACAAGGACUCAAGGAGCACCGAAACAACGGUUUUGGAAGAAACUCCACACUAAAUCCAAUAUCCAUGUUUAUCUUGCCUUGCACCAAUGAGAAAUCCCAGAUGUACGAGUUUGGAGUCGACAAGCAUGUAAGUCAUAACUGUAUACACACGGUCAGAAUUCUUGGAUUGGAACAAUUCCAAAAUCUUCAAAGCGUUUUGAAGUUUAUCUUUGAGGUGUCUGAGAACAGUAGCAAGCUCAGCAUCAUCAGGUGUUGACUGCUGCUGAAGGAUUUUAUGUGGAGGCUGACGGUCUGCUUCAUCCAACAAUAAUCUUUCAUCUUCAGUGGGAGGAAGAUGGUUGAGCAAAUCGUCAGCCAUCGAGCGAAUCUCGGAGGAAAGGCGAGAAACGUCAUCGGACGGAGGUGCAAAUGGGUACUUGUCGUAAUAAGAAGCCAGAUAACUCCUGGUUAUCGGUACCAGACCGUCGGUAGAAGCCAUUUCUUAUUUCUUAUCUCUUUAAUUUUCACAAUUUGAAUAAGGACUUUUUGCCGGAUCGACCGGAGAGAACGCCUAUCAAUUCCCUCUCACCACAUUCUUUACGAGAAUAUCUGGGCCUAUCU